rnacentral:lncRNA from 1 species
UUAAUUUCCUUUAUUAUGAAUAACACAUAUCUUUAUACUUGAUACGCAAAUAUGAUAUCCAUCGUGGUCUUCUUCUUUUUUUCUCUUGACGCGCGCCGCCUCAUCAUACUCCUCUCUCCCAAAUCCCAAUAUCGCCUCUCUCCAUCUCGCCGGCGAUCACGACUCAUUAUUAGCUGUGAUACCGACCCCCCUCAGUACUCCUCACCUUCACCCGCAACAACGAAGCUUGACGUCGGAGAUUUCUCUUCGGAGGCCCUGUUCUGCAGCGAAACUUGACGUCAGAUUCUUUCUGUUCCCUGGUCUGUUCGUCAUGGGUGGCGCCGGGGAUGGCGUGGUUGAUUAAGACUUUUUGUGGCUGAGCUGGGUCAUUCAUUUCAAUGGUGUUGAAGUUGCUGGAAAUUUUUCUUUGAGGCAUUUUGUCGAUCACUUUGCGUGCGCAAUAAAUUUGAUGUACUAAUUAAUUAGAUUGAAGCCUUUGUGCAAGUUGUGGUUGUGUGCCGCAA